UCAAACGACCUCAGUUUCCUAAGGAAAAACAGUCUACACUGGGCCUUCUUGAAGGUAGACGGACACCAAGGUAUUUAGAUGAGUGCAAUUUUUUGGAGUCCAUUUUCUCUGGGAUUCAGCCAGCACACAGCUGGGGUCAGAACUGGAAUCUCUGUUUAUCUGGAGUUUGGAGAACAACACUGGCUUGCCAUCUGUCCACAUCCAAUGCCCCAUGGAUCCAGUCAGCCCUGCAAACAGAAAUUACUCAGUCAAGGACCUACAGCAGAGAGCAGGCAUGCUGGGCACUGCUCCAGGUGGCCACUCCUGGGCUCAGGAUGUAACAGCGUUUCCUGUAGUGAGUCCAGCCAGAGGGACAGUCCAGACUUAGUGCCUUACUCGACUACAAGGCAGGAGAGAUAGAGAGGGAGUAAAAGGUCUGAAGUAUUAGGAGGAGCGUCUCCCAAGGGGACCUCUCCCGGUUUGUGCUCACUGAGCAGGUGACCAGUCCAGGACCAGAUGGGGGUGAUCUCCACGUCUGGAUGGACAGGCGGAAUCUGAUCAGAGCUCACAACUCUCUCCUCCACCAGCCUUAAGGGGAUAACCCCGUGGAUCUUGUUCACAGAGGAUGAGAAACCACAGUUUAGAACCAGUGAGAGCACAGAUGACCAGUGAGAGCCACAGACUUUAGUUUAGAAAUGAGAGAGUUGUAAAUAGGGUUGUCAAUGAUGACAACUAUAUUCAAAGUUGCAAAAUCUAAGCAAACCUAGGAGACUGGAAUUGAAAUAGAGUAGAAUAGAGCAUGACGACCAUUUGUGAAAGCUGGUCUUCGUUUUGCUUGUAACUUAAGAGUUCCUACUCUAUCUACUUAGGUAGAGUUGGAAAGGUUAGGCUUGGUCCUGUGCUCCCCCCUCAGAAUAAUCAAGGAAAUGCCCAUGAUUUGGGACAUCACCCCUUGGAGGGCGGCCUUCCCAUACAG